rnacentral:tRNA from 1 species
ACACCGGUGGUGAAGUGGUUAUCAUGCUUGCCUUCCACGACGUCCGUCGGUGAAUAAGCAAGCGGCACGAGUUCGAUUCUCGUCCGGUGUA